UACAGAGGGUGCAAGCGUUAAUCGGAAUUACUGGGCGUAAAGGGUGCGUAGGUGGCUAUUUAAGUCAGGUGUGAAAUCCCCGGGCUCAACCUGGGAAUUGCGCUUGAUACUGCUUAGCUAGAGUGUUAUAGAGGGUAGCGGAAUUUCCGGUGUAGCGGUGAAAUGCGUAGAUAUCGGAAGGAACACCAGUGGCGAAAGCGGCUAUCUGGAUAAUAACUGACACUGAGGCACGAAAGCAUGGGUAGCGAACAGG
rnacentral:rRNA from 1 species